AGCUAUUUUUAGGAUAGAAAUAACGUAGUUAACCAUGCAUUUGGUAAACUAAGGCGAAUUGACAUGAUGAUUCUAUAAUAGAUAUAGAAUGGCACCUUGCGAUAAGUUAAACUGGGAUAUUACAUUGUGUACGCAAUUGUUGUUCCUGAUGACCACGCACGCAAUGGGUUGAUCGACUAUCUAUAGACAGCGUGUAUGCUACAGACGGACGUUUUCAAAUGGCCGAUCGUUACCUACCAAAACAAUAGCAACUUUAGGCGUGUCCAGCCAGGCGAUACGGCAUACGUGAAGCGGCCAGCAACAGGAAUCUAGAGCUAUCUACAAAAUGUUUGAUGACACUGGUCAAUCUACUUCGCCUUUUUUUGUCGCCCAGGGGUUUGUGCGUCGUUGAUCUUUUCUUCUUGCGUGGGCAAAUCGCUCACGUGAAUGAAGCAAGGCUGAAAACAGGUGAAGGCGUGAUUGCCCCACGGUUUACUUCGAGCUAUUGACACUGGCUAAACAGACGUCAACCGGUUCUAUCAAUGGAUCUUUUAGUUAGGGUUGGAGCUGACGCCUUCCCGCAGGUUCAUGCCGGCUGUAUGAGAGAACGAGGCAUAUGCUAGUGUGAAACACUGUAAAAAAAAGACUGGCAUUGCUGAGAUGCGUAUGUCGUGCAUGCGCCUCGAAAUCUGUUUUUAUAAAAUGUACAAAAAACGUCAACAGAAAUAAAUAAAAUGAUUCGGCCAUAGUUAAGCCGCAUGCGAACACAAGAGUUACUUUCUGCUAAUUUUUCUUGUUGGUCAUCUUGGCAGUCGAAGCAUUACAAAGCCUUAAGGCAGAAAAAGGCUCGUUUGGACGUAAAACAUGUGUUAUGUGUAUGUAUGCAUGGAUCAUUUCGACAACGGUUCUAACAAUGUUUUCCGCGUGUGUAAUAAAUAAAAAUUAAAUUUUUACGAGACAUCUACCGAGCUCUACAUAACAAACCUGAAAUUGUACUUUCGAAAAAAAAAUGUUUCGCCAUAGCUUCAAGUGUUACGGUAUGAUGAAUAUAUAUACAGUUGGUUACG